AGAUCUGGCUCAGGAUGAACGCUAGCUACAGGCUUAACACAUGCAAGUCGAGGGGCAGCAUUUCAGUUUGCUUGCAAACUGGAGAUGGCGACCGGCGCACGGGUGAGUAACACGUAUCCAACCUGCCGAUAACUCGGGGAUAGCCUUUCGAAAGAAAGAUUAAUACCCGAUGGUAUAAUUAGACCGCAUGGUCUUGUUAUUAAAGAAUUUCGGUUAUCGAUGGGGAUGCGUUCCAUUAGGCAGUUGG
rnacentral:rRNA from 1 species